CUGCAGUCUGCAACUCGACUGCACGAAGCUGGAAUCGCUAGUAAUCGCGGAUCAGCACGCCGCGGUGAAUACGUUCCCGGGCCUUGUACACACCGCCCGUCACACCAUGGAAGUCUGCAAUGCCCGAAGCCGGUGGCCUAACCACUUAUGUGGAAGGAGCCGUCUAAGGCAGGGCAGAUGACUGGGGUGAAGUCGUAACAAGGUAGC
rnacentral:rRNA from 1 species